GCCAGAUUAGGAAUUAGGAUACCAAAUUCUGUUCCCAGAAUUUGCUCUGCUACUGAGGCUCUUUUGUGACCUUGAGCAAGUCACCGGCUGUCAAAUUUCCAGUUUUCCGCUUGUACUGGUGGCAACAUGCACUCAUCUUUAUAGAAGCUAGGAGAUGAAACAAGCAAAAUGCAUUCCUGUUUUAACACCUUUCUUAUGCAGAGCAAGUUUUGGUCCAGAGGAAGGUGGCAGUGUUCAGGGGAAUUCAAAUGGUUAUAUUGCUCCUGGACUGGGAUGGGGAGGUGGAGAGGCAGCCUUCACAAGCAGAUUACUGAGCAGGGCUCUCGGCGCUGAUUGCGAAUCCAGAUUGGAGAACUUACUCUGAGCACCGCCACACUUCAGAUGUCUGUCCACACUUCUGCAGCUGCCAUGCGGUGAAAUAAACCAGUCAGAGGCAGAAAAAUGAGUGCA
rnacentral:lncRNA from 1 species